rnacentral:rRNA from 1 species
GAUGAACGCUGGCGGCGUGCCUAAUACAUGCAAGUCGAGCGAACGGACGAGAAGCUUGCUUCUCUGAUGUUAGCGGCGGACGGGUGAGUAACACGUGGAUAACCUACCUAUAAGACUGGGAUAACUUCGGGAAACCGGAGCUAAUACCGGAUGAUAUUUUGAACCGCAUGGUUCAAAAGUGAAAGACGGUCUUGCUGUCACUUAUAGAUGGAUCCGCGCUGCAUUAGCUAGUUGGUAAGGUAACGGCUUACCAAGGCAACGAUGCAUAGCCGACCUGAGAGGGUGAUCGGCCACACUGGAACUGAGACACGGUCCAGACUCCUACGGGAGGCAGCAGUAGGGAAUCUUCCGCAAUGGGCGAAAGCCUGACGGAGCAACGCCGCGUGAGUGAUGAAGGCCUUCGGAUCGUAAAACUCUGUUAUUAGGGAAGAAAAUAUGUGUAAGUAACUGUGCACAUCUUGACGGUACCUAAUCAGAAAGCCACGGCUAACUACGUG